rnacentral:lncRNA from 1 species
AUGGGCCCGCACCUCGCGGGCGGCUCCCCGCAGCGCCGGGCGACGGGGCCUGGGCCAACCCACGACGGGGCCAACAUGGGCACGGAGCCCGUCGCCCCGAACAGCGCUCCCGUCCUUCCCUGCUUCUUUGUAAAGACUCUACUCAUUUACUUGAGGCAGAGACCGUGUGGCCCGGCGCGGAGCAGCGGCAGCGGCCCGCGGGGCAGGGAGCCUGGCGAGGGCCUCGAACCCAGGACCCAGGAGCACCCCGGAGCCACAGGCCCAGGCUCAGGCAUGGCGCCACCCGGGCCCCGAAUGUGUGGUUUCCAAGCCACUACGUUGGCAGUCACUGUCACCGCAGCAGCCCCUCCCCCAGCAGCGCCCCCUGUCACCGCAGCAGCCCCUCCGCCUGCAGCGCCCCUGUCACCUCAGCAGCCCCUCCCCCAGCAGCGCCCCCUGUCACCGCAGCAGCCCCUCCGCCUGCAGCGCCCCUGUCACCUCAGCAGCCCCUCCCCCAGCAGCGCCCCCUGUCACCGCAGCAGCCCCUCCGCCUGCAGCGCCCCUGUCACCUCAGCAGCCCCUCCCCCAGCAGCGCCCCCUGUCACCGCAGCAGCCCCUCCGCCUGCAGCGCCCCUGUCACCUCAGCAGCCCCUCCCCCAGCAGCGCCCCCUGUCACCGCAGCAGCCCCUCCGCCUGCAGCGCCCCUGUCACCUCAGCAGCCCCUCCCCCAGCAGCGCCCCCUGUCACCGCAGCAGCCCCUCCGCCUGCAGCGCCCCUGUCACCUCAGCAGCCCCUCCCCCAGCAGCGCCCCCUGUCACCGCAGCAGCCCCUCCGCCUGCAGCGCCCCUGUCACCUCAGCAGCCCCUCCCCCAGCAGCGCCCCCUGUCACCGCAGCAGCCCCUCCGCCUGCAGCGCCCCUGUCACCUCAGCAGCCCCUCCCCCAGCAGCGCCCCCUGUCACCGCAGCAGCCCCUCCGCCUGCAGCGCCCCUGUCACCUCAGCAGCCCCUCCGCCUGCAGCGCCCCUGUCACCUCAGCAGCCCCUCCCCCAGCAGCGCCCCCUGUCACCUCAGCAGCCCCUCCGCCCACAGCGCCCCUGUCACCUCGGCAGCCCCCAGCAGUGUCACCCGCCUGUCCCCAGGGCGUCUGUGCCGCGGGCCGCGGGGACCAGACUGAGCUCCCAGUCGCAGGUUGUGCAGGAGGAAGGCGUGGCCGCAGCGCCCGCAGCCGCCCCGGCAGCCGCCC